rnacentral:tRNA from 1 species
GGGGUUGUGGCUCAGUGGUAGAGUGCUUACCUAGAACAUAUGAGGCAUGGGGUUUGAUCCCCAGUACCA